rfam:Drosophila sechellia strain Rob3c scaffold_4192 genomic scaffold, whole genome shotgun sequence.
UUCGUUACUUGUUCCCCGGAUAGUUUAGUUACGUAGCCAAUUGUGGAACUUUCUUGCUAAAAUUUUUAAGAAUACUAUUUGGGUUAAACCAAUUAGUUCUUAUCAAUUAUAACGAUUAUCAAUUAACAAUCAAUUCAGAACUGGCACGGACUUGGGGAAUCCGACUGUCUAAUUAAAACAAAGCAUUGUGAUGGCCCUAGCGGGUGUUGACACAAUGUGAUUUCUGCCCAGUGCUCUGAAUGUCAAAGUGAAGAAAUUCAAGUAAGCGCGGGUCAACGGCGGGAGUAACUAUGACUCUCUUAAGGUAGCCAAAUGCCUCGUCAUCUAAUUAGUGACGCGCAUGAAUGGAUUAACGAGAUUCCUACUGUCCCUAUCUACUAUCUAGCGAAACCACAGCCAAGGGAACGGGCUUGGAAUAAUUAGCGGGGAAAGAAGACCCUUUUGAGCUUGACUCUAAUCUGGCAGUGUAAGGAGACAUAAGAGGUGUAGAAUAAGUGGGAGAUAUUAGACCUCGGUUUGGUAUCGUCAAUGAAAUACCACUACUCUUAUUGUUUCCUUACUUACUUGAUUAAAUGGAACGUGUAUCAUUUCCUAGCCAUUAUACGGAUAUAUUUAUUAUAUCUUAUGGUAUUGGGUUUUGAUGCAAGCUUCUUGAUCAAAGUAUCACGAGUUUGUUAUAUAAUCGCAAACAAAUUCUUUAAUAAAACGAUGCAUUUAUGUAUUUUUGAUUUGAAAUUUGGUAUAACUCCAAUUACUCAGGUAUGAUCCAAUUCAAGGACAUUGCCAGGUAGGGAGUUUGACUGGGGCGGUACAUCUCUCAAAUAAUAACGGAGGUGUCCCAAGGCCAGCUCAGUGCGGACAGAAACCACACAUAGAGCAAAAGGGCAAAUGCUGACUUGAUCUCGGUGUUCAGUACACACAGGGACAGCAAAAGCUCGGCCUAUCGAUCCUUUUGGUUUAAAGAGUUUUUAACAAGAGGUGUCAGAAAAGUUACCAUAGGGAUAACUGGCUUGUGGCGGCCAAGCGUUCAUAGCGACGUCGCUUUUUGAUCCUUCGAUGUCGGCUCUUCCUAUCAUUGUGAAGCAAAAUUCACCAAGCGUUGGAUUGUUCACCCAUGCAAGGGAACGUGAGCUGGGUUUAGACCGUCGUGAGACAGGUUAGUUUUACCCUACUAAUGACAAAACGUUGUUGCGACAGCAUUCCUGCGUAGUACGAGAGGAACCGCAGGUACGGACCAAUGGCACAAUACUUGUUCGAGCGAACAGUGGUAUGACGCUACGUCCGUUGGAUUAUGCCUGAACGCCUCUAAGGUCGUAUCCGUGCUGGACUGCAAUGAUAAAUAAGGGGCAAUUUGCAUUGUAUGGCUUCUAAACCAUUUAAAGUUUAUAAUUUAUUUUAUAAACGACAAUGGAUGUGAUGCCAAUGUAAUUUGUAACAUAGUAAAUUAGGAGGAUCUUCGAUCACCUGAUGCCGCGCUAGUUACAUAUAAAAGCAUUAUUUAAUACAAUGACAAAGCCUAGAAUCAAUUGUAAACGACUUUUGUACAGGCAAGGUGUUGUAAGUGGUUGAGCAGCUGCCAUACUGCGAUCCACUGAAGCUUAUCCUUUGCUUGAUGAUUCGA